CAGUAGCCGCGGGAAUACGAAGGGUGCAAGCGUUACUCGGAAUUACUGGGCGUAAAGCGUGCGUAGGCGGACAUUUAAGUCAGGGGUGAAAUCCCAGAGCUCAACUCUGGAACUGCCUUUGAUACUGGGUGUCUUGAGUGUGAUAGAGGUAUGUGGAACUCCGAGUGUAGAGGUGAAAUUCGUAGAUAUUCGGAAGAACACCAGUGGCGAAGGCGACAUACUGGAUCAUUACUGACGCUGAGGCUCGAAAGCGCGGGGAGCAAACAGGAUUAGAGACCCCUGUAGUCCCUGUCUCUUAUAC
rnacentral:rRNA from 1 species